rnacentral:rRNA from 1 species
AACGAACGCUGGCGGCAGGCCUAACACAUGCAAGUCGAGCGGACAUCUUCGGAUGUUAGCGGCUGACGGGUGAGUAACGCGUGGGAACGUGCCCUUUGCUUCGGAAUAGCCUCGGGAAACUGGGAGUAAUACCGGAUGUACCCUUUGGGGGAAAGAUUUAUCGGCAAAGUAUCGGCGCGCGUUGUAAUAGGUAGUUGGUGGGGUAAUGGCCUACCAAGCCGACGAUCCAUAGCUGGUUUGAGAGGAUGAUCAGCCACACUGGGACUGAGACACGGCCCAGACUCCUACGGGAGGCAGCAGUGGGGAAUCUUAGACAAUGGGGGAAAGCCUGAUCUAGCCAUGCCGCGUGAGCGAUGAAGGCCUUAGGGUUGUAAAGCUCUUUCACCGGGGAAGAUAAUGACGGUACCCGGAGAAGAAGCCCCGGCUAACUCCGUG